GACGAACGCUGGCGGCGUGCCUAAUACAUGUAAGUGGGACGCAAGAGAACACACUGUGCUUGCACACCGUGUUUUCUUGAGUCGCGAACGGGUGAGUAACGCGUAGGUAACCUGCCUAUUAGCGGGGGAUAACUAUUGGAAACGAUAGCUAAUACCGCAUAAUAUUAAUUAUUGCAUGAUAAUUGAUUGAAAGAUGCAAGCGCAUCACUAGUAGAUGGACCUGCGUUGUAUUAGCUAGUUGGUAAGGUAAGAGCUUACCAAGGCGACGAUACAUAGCCGACCUGAGAGGGUGAUCGGCCACACUGGGACUGAGACACGGCCCAGACUCCUACGGGAGGCAGCAGUAGGGAAUCUUCGGCAAUGGACGAAAGUCUGACCGAGCAACGCCGCGUGAGUGAAGAAGGUUUUCGGAUCGUAAAGCUCUGUUGUAAGUCAAGAACGUGUGUGAGAGUGGAAAGUUCACACAGUGACGGAGCUACCAGAAAG
rnacentral:rRNA from 1 species